GCCUGUUUACCAAAAACAUCACCUCUAGCAUUUCCAGUAUUAGAGGCACUGCCUGCCCAGUGACAUCAGUUAAACGGCCGCGGUAUCCUGACCGUGCAAAGGUAGCAUAAUCAUUUGUUCCUUAAAUAGGGACUUGUAUGAAUGGCCACACGAGGGCUUUACUGUCUCUUACUUCCAAUCCGUGAAAUUGACCUUCCCGUGAAGAGGCGGGAAUAUGACAAUAAGACGAGAAGACCCUAUGGAGMUUUAAUUAACCGACCCAAAGAGAUCUUGAUAAUCAACCGACAGGGAUAACAUACCUCUACCAUGGGCCGACAAUUUAGGUUGGGGUGACCUCGGAGAAUAAAACAACCUCCGAGUGAUUUAAAUCUAGACUAACUAGUCGAAAGUACUACAUCACUUAUUGAUCCAAAAACUUGAUCAACGGAACAAGUUACCCUAGGGAUAACAGCGCAAUCCUAUUUUAGAGUCCAUAUCGACAAUAGGAUUGCGCUGUUAUCCCUAGGGUAACUUGUUCCGUUGAUCAAGUUUUUGGAUCAAUAAGUGAUGUAGUACUUUCGACUAGUUAGUCUAGAUUUAAAUCACUCGGAGGUUGUUUUAUUCUCCGAGGUCACCCCAACCUAAAUUGUCGGCCCAUGGUAGAGGUAUGUUAUCCCUGUCGGUUGAUUAUCAAGAUCUCUUUGGGUCGGUUAAUUAAAGCUCCAUAGGGUCUUCUCGUCUUAUUGUCAUAUUCCCGCCUCUUCACGGGAAGGUCAAUUUCACGGAUUGGAAGUAAGAGACAGUAAAGCCCUCG
rnacentral:rRNA from 1 species